GGGGUUGUGGCUCAGCGGUAGAGCGCUCGCCUGGCAUGUGCAAGGCCCUGGGUUCAAUCCUCAGCACCA
rnacentral:tRNA from 1 species